rnacentral:rRNA from 1 species
CGGACGGGUGAGUAACACGUGGAUAACCUACCUAUAAGACUGGGAUAACUUCGGGAAACCGGAGCUAAUACCGGAUAAUAUAUUGAACCGCAUGGUUCAAUAGUGAAAGACGGUUUUGCUGUCACUUAUAGAUGGAUCCGCGCCGCAUUAGCUAGUUGGUAAGGUAACGGCUUACCAAGGCAACGAUGCGUAGCCGACCUGAGAGGGUGAUCGGCCACACUGGAACUGAGACACGGUCCAGACUCCUACGGGAGGCAGCAGUGC